ensembl:lncRNA
GUCACUGGUGGGAGUGGGGCACGACCCCCCCCCCCGCUGUGGGGCUGCAACGGGGCCGGGCAGGGCUGCAGGGCGCGCUGCAGCUCCUCGUGCAACGCUUGUGCAAAAGCCUGGUGCAAAGCUUGCACGGGGCCCUGCGGCACCGUUUGUAUUAAGCCCCAAUGCAUCGCUUGUGCAAAAGCCUGGUGCGAGGCUUGCACGGGGCCCUGCUGCAUCGCUUGCACCGAGCUCUGCUGAGACACUUGUGCAAAACCCUUGUGCAAGGCUUGCACGGCCUCCUCCCGCACCGUUUGCACGGCACGCAGUGCUUGUGCCAAACUCAGCUGCACCAUCAGCUCCAAUCACCACUGAGCUGCUUGCACUGAGCACCGACGCGUCCCUUGCACGGAUCCCUGGUGCAACAGCUGUGCUGCCACGCGCUGCACUGCUUGCACCAGGCCCUUGUGCAACCACUGCACGGCCACACGAUGCACCGCUCACACCCAACCCUCGUGCACCGUUUGCACGGCUCUCCCGUGCCUCCCACAAACCGACCUCUGCCGCAUCCCAUGGUGCAACCGUUGCACCAAUCCCACGUGCGCCAGCCCUUGCACCAACCCCCAGCGCACCAUUUGCACGGAUUCCUCGCACACCCCCAGCACCAGGUGCAUUUGCACCACUUGCACCAACCCCCAGUGCACCACCCCUUGCACUAAUCCCACGUGUGCCUUUUACAACGGCCUCUGGUGCAUCUCUUGCACAAACGCCACGUGCACUGUUUGCACCGAUCCCUGGUGCAUCCCUUGCACCAAUCCCACAUGAAUCAUUUGCACUGACUCCUGGUGCAUCCCUUGCACUGAUCACUACUAAAUCCCUUGCACUGAUCCCACGUGCACCAUCCCUUGCACCAAACCCAUCUGCAUCAUUUGCAACAGCCUCCAGUGCAUCCCUUGCACCAACGCCACCUGCACCACUUGCACCAACCCGAGAUGCACCAUCCCUUGCCCCAACCCCACGUGCAUCAUUUGCACCAACCCCACGUGCACCCCUUGCACGGACCUCGCAGCUCCCAUCCCCUGCACCAGCCCCUGAUGCAUCCUUUGCACCAGACUCGUGUGCAUCAUUUGCACCAAUCCCAGGUGGACCAUUUGCACCACCCCCCAGUGCCCCAUCCCUUGCACCAAUCCAAUCUGCUCCAUCCCUUGCACCAAUCCCACGUGCACCAUUUUCACCACCCCCCAGCGCAUCCCUUGCACCCCCCUUUGGUGCCCCAUCCCUUGCACUAAUCCCACGUGCACCAUUUGCACCAAACCCACGUGUGUCAUUUGCACCACCCCCCUGUGCAUCCCUUGCGCCAAUCCCAGCUGUACCAAACUCACGUGUGUCAUUUGCACCACCCCCCAGUGCAUCCCUUGCACCAAUCCCACGUGCAUCAUUUGCACCAAGCCCACAUGCAUCCCUUGCACCAACUCCGCCUACAUCAUUUGCACGAGACCCACGUGCAUCCCUUGCACCAAUCCCAGCUGCCCCAUCCCUUGCACCAAUCCCACAUGCAUCAUUUGCACCAAAUCCCAGUGCAUCCCUUGCACCAACGCCGCCUACAUCACUUCCACCAGACCCACAUGCAUCCCUUGCACCGAUCCCAGCUGCCCCAUCCCUUGCACCAAACCCACGUGCAUCAUUUGCAUCACCCCCCAGUGCAUCCCUUGCACCACUCCCUGCUGCAUCACUUGCACCAGACCCACGUGCAUCCCUUGCACCAAUCCCAGCUGCACCAAACCCACGUGUGUCAUUUGCACCAAACCCACGUGCAUCCCUUGCACCAAUCCCCCCUGCAUCCCUUGCACCAACCUCUCCUGCAUCCCUUGCACCAAUCCCAGCUGCCCCAUCCCUU